rnacentral:rRNA from 1 species
CGGGAAUUUUGGGCAAUGGGCGAAAGCCUGACCCAGCAACGCCGCGUGAGGGAUGUAGUAUUUCGGUAUGUAAACCUCGAAAGAAUGGGAAGAAUAAAUGACGGUACCAUUUAUAAGCUCCGGCUAACUACGUGCCAGCAGCCGCGGUAAUACGUAGGGAGCAAGCGUUGUUCGGAUUUACUGGGCGUAAAGGGCGCGUAGGCGGCGCGGUAAGUCACUUGUGAAAUCUCUGAGCUUAACUCAGAACGGCCAAGUGAUACUGCUGUGCUAGAGUGCGGAAGAGGCAACCGGAAUUCUUGGUGUAGCGGUGAAAUGCGUAGAUAUCAAGAGGAACACCUGAGGCGAAGGCGGGUUGCUGGGCCGACACUGACGCUGAUGCGCGAAAGCCAGGGGAGCAAACG